CGCGUAGGAACCUACCUAGUAGUUUGGGAUAGCCAUUGGAAACGAUGAUUAAUACCGGAUACGCCCCACGGGGGAAAGCAGAGGAUCUUCGGACUUUGCGCUAUUAGAUGGGCCUGCGUGAGAUUAGAUUGUUGGUGAGGUAAUGGCUCACCAAGUCCACGAUCUCUAGCUGGUCUGAGAGGAUGAUCAGCCACACUGGAACUGAGACACGGUCCAGACUCCUACGGGAGCAGCAGUGGGGAAUAUUGCACAAUGGGCGCAAGCCUGAUGCAGCCAUGCCGCGUGUGUGAAGAAGGCUCU
rnacentral:rRNA from 1 species